GACGAACGCUGGCGGCGUGCCUAAUACAUGCAAGUUGAGCGCUGAAGGUUGGUACUUGUACCAACUGGAUGAGCAGCGAACGGGUGAGUAACGCGUGGGGAAUCUGCCUUUGAGCGGGGGACAACAUUUGGAAACGAAUGCUAAUACCGCAUAAAAACUUUAAACACAAGUUUUAAGUUUGAAAGAUGCAGUUGCAUCACUCAAAGAUGAUCCCGCGUUGUAUUAGCUAGUUGGUGAGGUAAAGGCUCACCAAGGCGAUGAUACAUAGCCGACCUGAGAGGGUGAUCGGCCACAUUGGGACUGAGACACGGCCCAAACUCCUACGGGAGGCAGCAGUAGGGAAUCUUCGGCAAUGGACGAAAGUCUGACCGAGCAACGCCGCGUGAGUGAAGAAGGUUUUCGGAUCGUAAAACUCUGUUGGUAGAGAAGAACGUUGGUGAGAGUGGAAAGCUCAUCAAGUGACGGUAACUACCCAGAAAGGGACGGCUAACUACGUG
rnacentral:rRNA from 1 species